rnacentral:rRNA from 1 species
AUCGAAAGCCCGAGGCGAGAGUGAAAGCGGAUAGGGCGCGGCUUCUGGCCCCUAACCCUGACAGGCGCGAUCCCGGCCGCCUUUGCCGGCGGGGCGCAGCGCCGGCCCGUUUCGUCCGGCCGUCGCCGGGUCGUUCGCGCGGCCCGACGGCGCGCGCGGGGAGGCGGAGCCCGAGCGCGAGCGACGAGACCCGAAAGAUGGUGAACUAUGCCUGAGCAGGGCGACGCCAGAGGAAACUCUGGUGGAGGCCCGCAGCGCUUCUGACGUGCAAAUCGAUCGUCGUACUCGGGUAUAGGGGCGAAAGACUAAUCGAACCAUCUAGUAGCUGGUUCCCUCCGAAGUUUCCCUCAGGAUAGCUGGCGCUCGCUCGACAAGCAGUUCCAUCCGGUAAAGCGAAUGAUUAGAGGCCUCGGGGACGAAACGCCCUCGACCUAUUCUCAAACUUUAAAUGGGUGAGAAGCCCGGCUCGCCCGAUCGGAGCCCGCGGCUACCGUAACCGAAUGCACGAGCG